UAGGGAAUCUUCCGCAAUGGACGAAAGUCUGACGGAGCAACGCCGCGUGAGUGAUGAAGGUUUUCGGAUCGUAAAACUCUGUUGUUAGGGAAGAACAAGUAUCGGAGUAACUGCCGGUACCUUGACGGUACCUAACCAGAAAGCCACGGCUAACUACGUGCCAGCAGCCGCGGUAAUACGUAGGUGGCAAGCGUUGUCCGGAAUUAUUGGGCGUAAAGCGCGCGCAGGUAGUUCCUUAAGUCUGAUGUGAAAGCCCACGGCUCAACCGUGGAGGGUCAUUGGAAACUGGGGAACUUGAGUGCAGAAGAGGAAAGUGGAAUUCCAAGUGUAGCGGUGAAAUGCGUAGAGAUUUGGAGGAACACCAGUGGCGAAGGCGACUUUCUGGUCUGUAACUGACACUGAGGCGCGAAAGCGUGGGGAGCGAACAGG
rnacentral:rRNA from 1 species